rnacentral:rRNA from 1 species
AUUGAACGCUGGCGGCAUGCCUUACACAUGCAAGUCGAACGGCAGCACGGGUGCUUGCCCCUGGUGGCGAGUGGCGAACGGGUGAGUAAUACAUCGGAACAUGUCCUGUAGUGGGGGAUAGCCCGGCGAAAGCCGGAUUAAUACCGCAUACGAUCUACGGAUGAAAGCGGGGGACCUUCGGGCCUCGCGCUAUAGGGUUGGCCGAUGGCUGAUUAGCUAGUUGGUGGGGUAAAGGCCUACCAAGGCGACGAUCAGUAGCUGGUCUGAGAGGACGACCAGCCACACUGGGACUGAGACACGGCCCAGACUCCUACGGGAGGCAGCAGUGGGGAAUUUUGGACAAUGGGCGAAAGCCUGAUCCAGCAAUGCCGCGUGUGUGAAGAAGGCCUUCGGGUUGUAAAGCACUUUUGUCCGGAAAGAAAUCCUUGGCCCUAAUACGGUCGGGGGAUGACGGUACCGGAAGAAUAGGCACCGGCUAACUACGUG